UAAUACAGAGGGUGCGAGCGUUAAUCGGAUUUACUGGGCGUAAAGCGUGCGUAGGCGGCUUUUUAAGUCGGAUGUGAAAUCCCUGAGCUUAACUUAGGAAUUGCAUUCGAUACUGGGAAGCUAGAGUAUGGGAGAGGAUGGUAGAAUUCCAGGUGUAGCGGUGAAAUGCGUAGAGAUCUGGAGGAAUACCGAUGGCGAAGGCAGCCAUCUGGCCUAAUACUGACGCUGAGGUACGAAAGCAUGGGGAGCAAACAGGAUUAGAUACCCUGGUAGUCCAUGCCGUAAACUAUGUCUACUAGCCGUUGGUGCCUUUGAGGCUUUAGUGGCGCAGCUAACGCGAUAAGUAGACCGCCUGGGGAGUACGGUCGCAAGACUAAA
rnacentral:rRNA from 1 species